CGCAGUCGACGGUGAAGCCCAGCUUGCUGGGUGGAUCAGUGGCGAACGGGUGAGUAACACGUGAGCAAUCUGCCCCUGACUCUGGGAUAAGCGCUGGAAACGGCGUCUAAUACUGGAUAUGAACCGUGGAGGCAUCUUCAACGGUUGGAAAGAUUUUUUGGUCAGGGAUGAGCUCGCGGCCUAUCAGCUUGUUGGUGAGGUAAUGGCUCACCAAGGCGUCGACGGGUAGCCGGCCUGAGAGGGUGACCGGCCACACUGGGACUGAGACACGGCCCAGACUCCUACGGGAGGCAGCAGUGGGGAAUAUUGCACAAUGGGCGCAAGCCUGAUGCAGCAACGCCGCGUGAGGGAUGACGGCCUUCGGGUUGUAAACCUCUUUUAGCAGGGAAGAAGCGAAAGUGACGGUACCUGCAGAAAAAGCGCCGGCUAACUACGUGCCAGCAGCCGCGGUAAUACGUAGGGCGCAAGCGUUAUCCGGAAUUAUUGGGCGUAAAGAGCUCGUAGGCGGUUUGUCGCGUCUGCUGUGAAAUCCCGAGGCUCAACCUCGGGUCUGCAGUGGGUACGGGCAGACUAGAGUGCGGUAGGGGAGAUUGGAAUUCCUGGUGUAGCGGUGGAAUGCGCAGAUAUCAGGAGGAACACCGAUGGCGAAGGCAGAUCUCUGGGCCGUAACUGACGCUGAGGAGCGAAAGGGUGGGGAGCAAACAGGCUUAGAUACCCUGGUAGUCCACCCCGUAAACGUUGGGAACUAGUUGUGGGGUCCAUUCCACGGAUUCCGUGACGCAGCUAACGCAUUAAGUUCCCCGCCUGGGGAGUACGGCCGCAAGGCUAAAACUCAAAGGAAUUGACGGGGACCCGCACAAGCGGCGGAGCAUGCGGAUUAAUUCGAUGCAACGCGAAGAACCUUACCAAGGCUUGACAUAUACGAGAACGCUGCAGAAAUGUAGAACUCUUUGGACACUCGUAAACAGGUGGUGCAUGGUUGUCGUCAGCUCGUGUCGUGAGAUGUUGGGUUAAGUCCCGCAACGAGCGCAACCCUCGUUCUAUGUUGCCAGCACGUAAUGGUGGGAACUCAUGGGAUACUGCCGGGGUCAACUCGGAGGAAGGUGGGGAUGACGUCAAAUCAUCAUGCCCCUUAUGUCUUGGGCUUCACGCAUGCUACAAUGGCCGGUACAAAGGGCUGCAAUACCGUAAGGUGGAGCGAAUCCCAAAAAGCCGGUCCCAGUUCGGAUUGAGGUCUGCAACUCGACCUCAUGAAGUCGGAGUCGCUAGUAAUCGCAGAUCAGCAACGCUGCGGUGAAUACGUUCCCGGGUCUUGUACACACCGCCCGUCAAGUCAUGAAAGUCGGUAACACCUGAAGCCGGUGGCCCAACCCUUGUGGAGGGAGUCUCGUCGAAGGUGGGAUCGGUAAUAGGACUA
rnacentral:rRNA from 1 species